CGAGGCGGUCGGAUGGCUGCGCGCUUGCCGGUUCGCCGGUUGAGCGUGAGGAACGUCCGAGCUCCUCAGCGCAGGGUAGCGGGUAACGCCCGUCCGCCGCGAGGCGAGGACCAGUGCCACAGUGACGAUGCCGGGCCUUCGGGUCCGGAGUGAAACGCGGCAAACUCUACCCGGAGCAAGGCCAAAUAGGAGGGCGCAACCCGUGCGGGGCAACCCGUCGGGGGAGAGGUGCGCUGCCCAGCCCUCGGGUCGGCCGCAUGAGCCGUCGGGCAACCGGCGGCCUUAGAUGGAUGGCCAUCUCCGCGAGCAAUCGCGGGACAGAACUCGGCGUACAGACCGCCUCAUUGA
rnacentral:RNase_P_RNA from 1 species